ensembl:lncRNA
AGAUUCCCAGGAGUGUUCACGUCACGGCUGCUGAGCCAGCGCCAAUGCCCAAGAGGGCCACCAGCUCAGCACCACAGCACAAGAUGGCCACCAGCCCAGCACCAUUACACAAGAUGGCCGCCAGCUCAGCGUGCCCAACACCACAGCACAAGAGGGCCGCUAACCCAGCGCCAAUGCCCAAGAUGGCCACCAGCCCAGCACCACAGCACAGGAUGGCCGCCAGCCCAGAGCCAUUGCACAAGAUGGCCCCCAUCCCAGGCCCACUGCGUGGCCGACUCAAGGCCUGAGUCGCUGGACAAGGUACCGCUGACUCGCCGUCAUAGAGGGCGGAGGAGGAGACAGGCAUCGACCGUUCCUCAAGGCCCGGAGGCCAUUCCCGAGCAGCCCGCUGCCGUCCCGGAGGAGGUUCCCGAGAAGCCCGCUGCCGUCCCGGAGGCAGUUCUUAAGGCCGAGGCGGUUCCUGAGGGGGUGCCCGAGGCGGUGUCCGAUGCUGUUCCGGAGGCCGAGGUGGUGCCCGAUGCUGUUCCGGAGGCCGAGGUGGUGCCCGAUGCCGGGGCGGUGCGCGCUGCUGUGCGGGCGGCCGAGGUCGUGCCCGAUGCUGUGGCGGAGGCCGAGGCGGUGCCCGAUGCUGUUCCGGAGGCAGAGGCGGUGCCCGACGCCGAGGCGGUGCCCGAUGCCGAGGCGGUGCCCAAUGCUGUUCCGGAGGCCGAGGCGGUGCCCGACGCCGAGGCGGUGCCCGAUGCCGAGGCGGUGCCCGAUGCCGAGGCGGUGCCCGACGCUGUUCCAGAGGGCGAGGCGGUGCCUGACGCCGAGGCGGUGCCCGAGGCCGAGGCCGUUCCCGAUGCCGUGCCCGAGGCCGAGGCCGUUCCCGAUGCCGUGACCGAGGCCAUGCCCGAGGUGGUGCCCGAUGCUGUUCCGGAGGCCGAGGUGGUGCCCGAUGCUGUGCCGGAGGACGAUGGGGUGCCCGAGAUGGUUCUCGAGGCCGUUCCCGAUGUGGUGCCCAAGGCCGAGGCGGUGCCUGAGGCGGGGUCCUAUGCGGUGCCCAAGAUGGUGCCCGAAGCCGAGGCACUUCACGUCUCCACAGGCCGUCCAGAGCACCUUCACGUCUCCACAGGCCGUCCAGAGCAUCUUCACGUCUCCACAGGGGCCCCGGAGUGGCAGGUUCCGUCCUGGCCGCUCAAAUGGCGGGUUCUUCCCUGGCCGUCUGCACAACCUGAACUUUCGGGUCCACCCCGGCCCCCUAAACUGACUGAUCCACCUUGGCUACCGGUGGAGCCAUCGCUUCCUGUUCCUGUUCCCCUACAUCGGCCUUGCCCUCCAUCCCUCCCCCUGUUCUGCCUCCACCAGUCCACCUCCCUCCUGGUCUUCUGGUUGUUGUUGUUGUUGUUUCUCCACUUCCUGUCCCUGAAGUCUUGGAGUGUCUGGUAGCCACUCCGUAGAGGGGGGGUUGUGUCACAGUGUCUGGGUUGUGUUCCCUGGGUAACCACUAGAUGUCCUCCUUCCCCACGAUCCCUGUCUCCUCAUUGCACUCAGCUGUCACUGGUUAUUAAUCAUUGCACUCAGUCAAUUCCCCAUUAGCGUUUGUCAUGUCCCUGUGUAUUUAUACCGGUCUGUCUUAGUAUGUGUCACGGAGUCCUUGUUAAUCCUCGUCCGUCUCUAGUCGUGUUCUAGUCUGGUGUCCUUGUUUGUUUAUGUCUUGGAUAUGUUUGAUAUUGACCCCUGCCUGGACUGUUUAUUCUUUGGAUUGCCCCUAAAUAAAGACGUACUCGCAUUUGGAGCUCUCA